CAAAAUCGAAACCGAAAGUGCAGAAAAAAGCAACACAAGAUAGAGACAAGCGAUUUCGUUUGAAAUUGAUCAAUCUUGGCGAUACGACUGAACGUUGGAAGAUCUUUAAAAGCAUCUUUUGAACAGACAAAGAAAGAGGUGUGGCUGAUAUACUAAUCGGGCUCUCUUUGGAAAGGCAUGCUGACUUAACUGUGCAAUUUUGACUGUCCAGCAUGGUGUUUGAACAGCAAGCUCUGAACCUACGAACCGUCAUCAGCCACCAGAUCCUGAUCUGUCUUCUGUGUCGGAAGGAAGCAACAUACCUGGUCAGGUGUCAGGAACUGGAGAGAUCAUAUUUGACUUGGAAGUUGUGCUUGUGCAUGCCAAAAAUUGGACAGUGGUGCAAAGAACAAAUAGGUUUACAGGUUCAUUCCAUGAUUGCAUUAAAGAAUGUGCACUGAGUACCUUGAUAUCAACACAAAAAAAAAACACUCGAUACCAAGUUCCUUGUUGAUCCAGCUGAUCCAGAGCUGAUGCCUUUACAAUUGCCUCUCAUCCACAUCCUGCAAAUGCGGAGCUGCGAGAAAACAACAGAGCAAAGAUCAAUGGCAAGCAAGCGGGAGGCAAUUGGUAGAUUCACUAAAUGAGUAAAUAGAAAUAGGCACUUGACGUAUGUCGUUUCAACAGAUUUUAACAUACCAUCAUUGUGAAAUGAAAACUUUGCAAACUUAACAGGAUGGUUUUAUAGGAUAUAGAUGACUAUAUUAUUUGAAUCGAUGCUUGAACUUAUUUUUGUCAGUGUGAAUGCGUGACCAAAUGCUUGGUAUUAUGAUACUGUCAUAAUAAUGUACUACUAUUAUUAUUACAUACUAAUGUAAUAUAUAUAUGUUUUACAUUUUAAUUACUGAACUGCCUAUAAACAAAGGACUUAAAUACAAUUGUUGAAAACUCAAGAAAAACGCAGACAAGAGUCCUGAACCAGAAGACUCACUGGUAAAAUUGUAAGUUUAUGUAGCGUAUUCCAAAUCGUCAUGUAUUUACAAAUAAACAGCAUAAAAUAAAAGUAUCGCAACAUGUCAA